UCGAUUGAGUUUGAUCAUGGCUCAGAGCGAACGCUAGCGGCAGGCUUAACACAUGCAAGUCGAACGCGAAUCCUUCGGGAUUCGAGUGGCGAACGGGUGAGUAACACGUGGGUCACGUACCCUGAGGUGGGGGAUAACCCGAGGAAACUCGGGCUAAUACCGCAUGUGCGCUUCGGCGUAAAAGUCUUCGGACGCCUUUGGAACGGCCCGCGGCCGAUUAUUUAGUCCUAGUUGGUGAGGUAACGGCUCACCAAGGGUACGAUCGGUAGCUGGUCUGAGAGGACGAUCAGCCACACUGGGACUGAGACACGGCCCAGUCUCCUACGGGAGGCAGCAGUGGGGAAUAUUGGACAAUGGGCGAAAGCCUGAUCCAGCUAUGCCGCGUGGGUGAAGAAGGCCUUCGGGUUGUAAAGCCCUGUCGGGAGGGAAGAAAAAAAUGACGGUACCUCGCAAGAAAGCACCGGCUAACUCCGUGCCAGCAGCCGCGGUAAUACGGAGGGUGCAAGCGUUGCUCGGAAUCACUGGGCGUAAAGCGACCGCAGGCG
rnacentral:rRNA from 1 species